rnacentral:rRNA from 1 species
UGGGGAAUUUUGGACAAUGGGCGCAAGCCUGAUCCAGCAAUGCCGCGUGCAGGAUGAAGGCCUUCGGGUUGUAAACUGCUUUUGUACGGAACGAAACGGUCCUUUCUAAUACAAGGGGCUAAUGACGGUACCGUAAGAAUAAGCACCGGCUAACUACGUGCCAGCAGCCGCGGUAAUACGUAGGGUGCGAGCGUUAAUCGGAAUUACUGGGCGUAAAGCGUGCGCAGGCGGUGAUGUAAGACAGUUGUGAAAUCCCCGGGCUCAACCUGGGAACUGCAUCUGUGACUGCAUCGCUAGAGUACGGCAGAGGGGGAUGGAAUUCCGCGUGUAGCAGUGAAAUGCGUAGAUAUGCGGAGGAACACCGAUGGCGAAGGCAAUCCCCUGGGCCUGUACUGACGCU